rnacentral:tRNA from 1 species
GCAUCGUUAGCUUGGAAAACUUAUACCCGC